UACAGAGGGUGCGAGCGUUAAUCGGAAUUACUGGGCGUAAAGCGCGCGUAGGCGGCUUUGCAAGUCGGGUGUGAAAUCCCCAGGCUUAACCUGGGAACUGCAUUCGAGACUGCAUUGCUAGAGUAUGGGAGAGGGAAGUGGAAUUUCCGGUGUAGCGGUGAAAUGCGUAGAUAUCGGAAGGAACACCAAUGGCGAAGGCAGCUCGCUGGGACGGUACUGACGCUGAGGCGCGAAAGCGUGGGGAGCAAAACAGG
rnacentral:rRNA from 1 species